AAUUCAGUCAGACUCUUGUUCUCUGAGAUCUUGGGAUUUAGUGGCAAAGGCUUCUAAACUAAGAACAAAGCGUCCUCUACUAUCUGUAAUGAAAAACUCCUCACCACUCAAUUCAACUUGUCAAAGAUUUCUUAGACUCUGCUGGAUUCAGACAUCAAAGACUUGCUGCUGGGACAAGAAGAGAUUUGAGACAUUGAGGAGCUGAUCAUUCAUGACAGGCAUCAUCUAUUUUAAGCAACAUGGAGAAAGAAGUGCACAUUUUGGACAUCAAAGAUUACAAAUACUGCAUUUCUGAUUUCACUGAUUUAAAAAGAAAGUGGCCAAAGAAUGCAUGAAGCAGGUGCAUUCAAAAGUUAAUAAAAGUCUAAGCCUACAUGCCUUUUCUUGUGAUUUCUAGUUUCACAUUUUGAUUUAUAAAGUUCCUAGAUUAAAUUUUUGUUCAUUUCUGUCAGAUGAGGUAUAAACUAAGCCCAAGACUAGAAUUCCUACUGGGAGGGCUUUUUCCUUCAUGAAAUAAUCCUCCUAGCCACAGUGAAUGAGUAUCAUUUUAUAAUUUAAGAGAAAAAUACCCUCAUGUAGAAAUGAAACCCUGGAACAAUUUGGUUAGUAAUACAGUGUUUACAGUAAUUAAAGAAAAUGAAAGGGCCGGCUUAGUCAACAGUGUGUGUUGGCAAAAAAGUUCUGUGCUAACUGAGACGCAUUAGUUGUGAUGCCUGGUCUGUGGUAUUGAGAUGCAGUCCAAGUGCAAGUAGGCUGACAGGAAUGACUGACAGGAGGGUUUGCCUUGGUGUCCAGUAGGAAAUAAUAGUGCACACACAGGGUCUGAGUCAACCUGAGUCUCACAGUCUUCCUGAGAGUUCACACAGAGUCUGGAAAGUAAGGUUUAAACACAGCCAGGAGACAGGAGGAAGCACAGUCAGCCAGCACUCAUUAAACAGAUGUGAGGCAUUGGGUAGAGCAGGACAGAGUCUGCCCCAGAAAGAAACAACCAAUGCCUCCUGACACACAGUCUCCACCUGGCACUACUGGGACUCUGUGAACUUGAUAGCUGAAAAGGGAUGAUGGAAGACGCUACUCACCAAGUAAGUGACAGCUAAUCGACAAUUAAAAACAGAAAUGUGCCAUCCUUUUCAUCUAGAGACAUGUCAA